UACGGGGGGAGCAAGCGUUGUUCGGAUUUACUGGGCGUAAAGGGCGCGUAGGCGGCGCAACAAGUCACUUGUGAAAUCUCCGGGCUUAACCCGGAGCGGCCAAGUGAUACUGUCGUGCUAGAGUGCGGAAGGGGCUACUGGAAUUCUCGGUGUAGCGAUGAAAUGCGUAGAUAUCGAGAGGAACACCUGCGGCGAAGGCGGGUAGCUGGGCCGACACUGACGCUGAGGCGCGAAAGCCAGGGGAGCGAACGGG
rnacentral:rRNA from 1 species